CGCUAGAGGAAAAACUCUCCGAUGCGGAUGAUACUGCAUCAGGAACUGAUUGGCUGAUGCUCAAAUGUCAACAGUACCUGAUGCAUUGCCUUCAGCAUCGCAAGAA
rnacentral:pre_miRNA from 11 species